rnacentral:misc_RNA from 1 species
GAAAUGCGAUAAGUAGUGUGAAUUGCAGAAUUCAGUGAAUCAUCGAAUCUUUGAACGCACAUUGCGCCCUUUGGUAUUCCUUAGGGCAUGCCUGUUCGAGCGUCAUCUAAACCUUCAAGCCCUGCUUGGUGUUGGGUGCCCGUCCCGCCUCCGCGCGCGGACUCACCUCAAAUCCAUUGGCGGCCCCCGCGUCGGCCACGAGCGCAGCAGAAACGCGAACUCGUGAGCCCGUCCGGGCGGCUCCCAGAAGCUACACCCACCCAGUUUGACCUCGGAUCAGGUAGGGAUACCCGCUGAACUUAAGC